rnacentral:rRNA from 1 species
UUAGGAAUUUUGCGCAAUGGGCGAAAGCCUGACGCAGCAACGCCGCGUGAUCGAUGAAGCUUUUCGGAGCGUAAAGAUCUGUCGUGAGGGAAGAAUAAUUUGAAUGCAAAUAGUUUUCAAGUCUGACGGUACCUCACAAGAAAGCACCGGCUAACUUCGUGCCAGCAGCCGCGGUAAUACGAGGGGUGCUAGCGUUGUCCGGAAUCAUUGGGCGUAAAGGGUCCGUAGGUGUCUUUGAAAGUCUUUUGUUACAUCCAUCGGCUUAACCGGUGGCCUGCAAUCGAAACUUUAAGGAUAGAGUUCGAGAGAGGAAAGUGGAAUUCCUGGUGUAGCGGUGACAUGCGUAGAUAUCAGGAGGAACACCAAUGGCGAAGGCAGCUUUCUGGCUCGAUACUGACGCUGAGGGACGAAAGCGUGGGGAGCAAACAGG